ACUGGAGGGGAACCAGAGGGGAAGAGAGAAGAUAAGACAGAAGCAAGGACAAAUUAAGCGAUGGCAUUUCAGCCUCCUUAUUCCCCCAGCCUCUUCAGAAAAAGGGACAACUCCUACCCCUGUGUUUGCUUUGUGGCUUGUCCUGCACCUCUCACACCGUGUCUUUUUCCGCUUCUCCUGACACAAGACCCUGUGUUUCGCUGGCAACGUCGGCAAAAUCUUUGGGCGGAACAUUCCCCAUAGAAAAUAAGGAAGACUUGCCUAUAAAGAGUUUCCUUUGGGCUGCGUGGUACACAAUGCUUCAAGUGUGACAAAAAGGGAAGUGAGAUGUUCCCCCUCACCGCCACCCCCCCCAGCCCUACCGCACGCACCCACCCCUAGUCUGCUCCCCACCUCUCAGCGGGGUGCUGAGAUCGGGCCCACGAGUUCUGCUACCCAGACUGCCCAGUCUCUGUCCCGCCUUCCCGUGGGAACCCCGAGUAGGAAGCACUCUUGUCUUAGAGAGUCUGGCUUUUUGAGCGGG